AGCGUACACGGUGGAUGCCCUGGCAGUCAGAGGCGAUGAAGGACGUGCUAAUCUGCGAAAAGCGCCGGCGAGGUGAUAUGAACCUUUGACCCGGCGAUGUCCGAAUGGGGAAACCCAGUGCAAUUCGUUGCACUAUCGUUAACUGAAUACAUAGGUUAACGAGGCGAACCGGGGGAACUGAAACAUCUAAGUACCCCGAGGAAAAGAAAUCAACCGAGAUUCCCCCAGUAGCGGCGAGCGAACGGGGAGCAGCCCAGAGUCUGAAUCAGCUUGUGUGUUAGUGGAAGCGUCUGGAAAGUCGCACGGUACAGGGUGACAGUCCCGUACACGAAAGCACACAGGCUGUGAACUCGAAGAGUAGGGCGGGACACGUGGUAUCCUGUCUGAAUAUGGGGGGACCAUCCUCCAAGGCUAAAUACUCCUGACUGACCGAUAGUGAACCAGUACCGUGAGGGAAAGGCGAAAAGAACCCCGGCGAGGGGAGUGAAAAAGAACCUGAAACCGUGUACGUACAAGCAGUGGGAGCACCUUCGUGGUGUGACUGCGUACCUUUUGUAUAAUGGGUCAGCGACUUAUAUUCUGUAGCAAGGUUAACCGUAUAGGGGAGCCGAAGGGAAACCGAGUCUUAACUGGGCGUUAAGUUGCAGGGUAUAGACCCGAAACCCGGUGAUCUAGCCAUGGGCAGGUUGAAGGUUGGGUAACACUAACUGGAGGACCGAACCGACUAAUGUUGAAAAAUUAGCGGAUGACUUGUGGCUGGGGGUGAAAGGCCAAUCAAACCGGGAGAUAGCUGGUUCUCCCCGAAAGCUAUUUAGGUAGCGCCUCGUGAACUCAUCUUCGGGGGUAGAGCACUGUUUCGGCUAGGGGGCCAUCCCGGCUUACCAACCCGAUGCAAACUACGAAUACCGAAGAAUGUUAUCACGGGAGACACACGGCGGGUGCUAACGUCCGUCGUGAAGAGGGAAACAACCCAGACCGCCAGCUAAGGUCCCAAAGUCAUGGUUAAGUGGGAAACGAUGUGGGAAGGCACAGACAGCCAGGAUGUUGGCUUAGAAGCAGCCAUCAUUUAAAGAAAGCGUAAUAGCUCACUGGUCGAGUCGGCCUGCGCGGAAGAUGUAACGGGGCUAAACCAUGCACCGAAGCUGCGGCAGCGACGCGUAUGCGUUGUUGGGUAGGGGAGCGUUCUGUAAGCCGUUGAAGGUGUGCUGUGAGGCAUGCUGGAGGUAUCAGAAGUGCGAAUGCUGACAUAAGUAACGAUAAAGCGGGUGAAAAGCCCGCUCGCCGGAAGACCAAGGGUUCCUGUCCAACGUUAAUCGGGGCAGGGUGAGUCGACCCCUAAGGCGAGGCCGAAAGGCGUAGUCGAUGGGAAACAGGUUAAUAUUCCUGUACUUGGUGUUACUGCGAAGGGGGGACGGAGAAGGCUAUGUUAGCCGGGCGACGGUUGUCCCGGUUUAAGCAUGUAGGCGGAGGUUCCAGGUAAAUCCGGUACCUUUUAACGCUGAGGUGUGAUGACGAGGCACUACGGUGCUGAAGUAACAAAUGCCCUGCUUCCAGGAAAAGCCUCUAAGCAUCAGGUAACAUCAAAUCGUACCCCAAACCGACACAGGUGGUCAGGUAGAGAAUACCAAGGCGCUUGAGAGAACUCGGGUGAAGGAACUAGGCAAAAUGGUGCCGUAACUUCGGGAGAAGGCACGCUGAUAUGUAGGUGAAGCCCCUGCGGGUGGAGCUGAAAUCAGUCGAAGAUACCAGCUGGCUGCAACUGUUUAUUAAAAACACAGCACUGUGCAAACACGAAAGUGGACGUAUACGGUGUGACGCCUGCCCGGUGCCGGAAGGUUAAUUGAUGGGGUUAGCGGCAACGCGAAGCUCUUGAUCGAAGCCCCGGUAAACGGCGGCCGUAACUAUAACGGUCCUAAGGUAGCGAAAUUCCUUGUCGGGUAAGUUCCGACCUGCACGAAUGGCGUAAUGAUGGCCAGGCUGUCUCCACCCGAGACUCAGUGAAAUUGAACUCGCUGUGAAGAUGCAGUGUACCCGCGGCAAGACGGAAAGACCCCGUGAACCUUUACUAUAGCUUGACACUGAACACUGGUCCUUGAUGUGUAGGAUAGGUGGGAGGCUUUGAAGCGUGGACGCCAGUCUGCGUGGAGCCGUCCUUGAAAUACCACCCUUUAAUGGCUGGUGUUCUAACGUAGACCCGUAAUCCGGGUUGCGGACAGUGUCUGGUGGGUAGUUUGACUGGGGCGGUCUCCUCCCAAAGAGUAACGGAGGAGCACGAAGGUUAGCUAAUCCUGGUCGGACAUCAGGAGGUUAGUGCAAUGGCAUAAGCUAGCUUGACUGCGAGAGUGACGGCUCGAGCAGGUGCGAAAGCAGGUCAUAGUGAUCCGGUGGUUCUGAAUGGAAGGGCCAUCGCUCAACGGAUAAAAGGUACUCCGGGGAUAACAGGCUGAUACCGCCCAAGAGUUCAUAUCGACGGCGGUGUUUGGCACCUCGAUGUCGGCUCAUCACAUCCUGGGGCUGAAGUAGGUCCCAAGG
rnacentral:rRNA from 1 species